rnacentral:lncRNA from 13 species
UUGUACAGCAUACAACUCUACAUUCACAAAAGGGACUCCUGUUAUCGCAGUGGGACCCUUCCUGCCCACUCCCCUCCCUUGACCAGUACUGAGCCACAGAGCGGGUGUCAUAGCUUAAUCCUAUGACAUUGAUCCACGGCCACUUGUGUUAUCACAAUCCCACGCCACUAUAACCCUGGGACUGCAGUGGGGGUUGAACAGAUUAGCUGGUCUAGAGCCUUGUUACAGAGGUAGGGCCACAGUGAUUGGAUCAUAGGGAUGAGAACUUUGAGGGUUAAAAUUCCCCUGCAGUGACACUCCCUGUUUUGUCAUCGGGGUGUUCCUUUUUGAAAGGAGAACCUACUAGUGCUCUUCCAAUGAAACUAGUUAUGUCUAGACUAAAAUCUAGACUGAAUUUAAUUUGAGCCUAAAUAACUGGUCCCCCACGUAUGCUCACUCAAUGUGAAAGGCUUGCAGGCUCUCCUGUUAUUUUGGGGUGUGCUUGUUUGCUGUACAAGUGAAACCGGGGAGUGACUUGCUGUACAUUGUGUCCUCAACUGUAGCUACUUGACACAUUUUUAUUUUCACCGCGGCAAAGCUGUGACACUGUUUUUGUGCAAGUCUGUCUGCACGAUGGCUGUAUAUGCAUGUCUGUCUUCGAAGGGUUGUGUGUGUCCGUCACAAAAACAAUCGUCUAGAGUACUGCCACGGCGACAGAUGUCGUCGCUCCCCGGUGGUACUGGUGAUAACAUCAUCUAUGCCCUGCUGUGUGGUGGGGCCUUCGCUGGAGCUGUCGCCUAUACGUACAGCACUGUGACCACAGACCACGCCAGAUUCACCGACCGUGUAGCGGAUAUCAACGCUCGUCCUAAGACCGAGUGGGUUCCCAAACCAUGGCCCCCCAAGAGCAGGGAUGAGGAAGAGGAGGGUGAGGAAGCAGUAGCUGAUGGAGAGGAGGAAGCAGAGGAGGCGGCGCCUGGAGAGGAGCCUGCAGCUGAAGAGACUGUAGAGGCGGAAAACGUAGCAGAACUUGCUGAAGAGACCGAAGCAGUCUCUGAAGAACCUGCUGUGGAGGCAGCAGUAGAGGAAGUGGCUGUAGUAGAAGCAGAGACUGUGGUGGAGGAGGUCGCAGAGGCUGUCGCCGAGGCUGCUGAAGUCAUCGCCGAGGUUGCUGAAGAGGUCGUUGAGGUGGCCAAGGAAGUAGAGGCGGCAGCAGAGGAAGUGGUCAUAGUGGCCGAGGCCGUGGAGGAUGCUGCAGAGGCCAUUGCCGUGCCCGCCUUCCCCGAGGAAGCAGUUGCUGUGGUAGAGCCAGAGAGCAAUGUGGCACCAGUCGCUAUGGCUGCAGCCUCUGCUUUGGCGGUGACAACAGUCGCUGAAGUAGUUUUAGAAGUCAAGGAGGCUGCCCCUGUAGAGGCCCCAGCUGCAGAAGAAGCCGCUCCAGUCGAGGCCGCACCCAUAGAAGAGGCUCCAACUGCAGUCGAAGAAGCUCCAAUUGAGGCUGCCGCAGCAGAGAUUGUGGAGGCAGACGCUGCUCCUGUGGAGGCAGACGCUGCUCCUGUGGAGGCAGACGCUGCUCCUGUGGAGGCAGACGCUGCUCCUGUGGAGGCAGACGCUGCCCCUGUGGAGGCAGACGCGGCCCCUGUGGAGGCAGACGCGGCCCCUGUGGAGGCAGACGCGGCCCCUGUGGAGGCAGACGCGGCCCCUGUGGAGGCAGACGCGGCCCCUGUGGAGGCAGACGCUGCCCCUGUGGUGGAAGAGACGCCAGCUGCUAAGGAGUACAUUGUCGUGGUGCUGGACGGAGCGAGCAAGUCAGACAAGAAGCCCAAAGUCCUGGGGAUUGGCCCCAUGACCGGCAGGAUUAUCCCAGACGAAGACGAGGCCCCUGCUGCUGAGGUAACAGGGCAAGCGACGGCUGCUUAGGAUACAGAUGCAGUUGAACCAACUGACAG